rnacentral:ncRNA from 1 species
AACGCGUACCGUGGCGAUUUGUUCACCGGAUUGCGGGCCACGUUAAACAUGCUGCUAAAGAGGUCGAGGUUCUUGCAAC